rnacentral:rRNA from 1 species
CCUACGGGUGUCUGCAGUGAGGAAUAUUGGUCAAUGGACGAGAGUCUGAACCAGCCAAGUAGCGUGAAGGAUGACUGCCCUAUGGGUUGUAAACUUCUUUUAUAUGGGAAUAAAAUGUUCCACGUGUGGGUUUUUGUAUGUACCUUAUGAAUAAGGAUCGGCUAACUCCGUGCCAGCAGCCGCGGUAAUACGGAGGAUCCGAGCGUUAUCCGGAUUUAUUGGGUUUAAAGGGAGCGUAGGUGGGUUGUUAAGUCAGUUGUGAAAGUUUGCGGCUCAACCGUAAAAUUGCAGUGGAUACUGGCAGUCUUGAGUACAGUAGAGGUAGGCGGAAUUCGUGGUGGAGCGGUGAAAUGCUUAGAGAUCACGAAGAACUCCGAUUGCGAAGGCAGCUUACUAGACUGCAACUGACACUGAGGCUCGAAAGUGUGGGUAUCAAACAGGAUUAGAUACCCCUGUAGUC